rnacentral:rRNA from 1 species
GACGAACGCUGGCGGCGUGCUUAACACAUGCAAGUCACGGGGGCUCGCAAGAGCAACCGGCGAACGGGUGCGUAACACGUGAGCAACCUGCCGAUCUGAGGGGGAUAGCCGGCCCAACGGCCGGGUAAUACCGCAUACGUUCUCGAGGGGGAGUCCUCUUGGGAAGAAACCUCCGGGGCAGAUCGAGGGGCUCGCGGCCUAUCAGCUAGUUGGCGGUGUAAUGGACCACCAAGGCUANGACGGGUAGCUGGUCUGGGAGGAUGGCCAGCCACAUUGGGACUGAGAGACGGCCCAGACUCCUACGGGAGGCAGCAGUGGGGAAUCUUGCGCAAUGGCCGAAAGGCUGACGCAGCGACGCCGCGUGUGGGAUGAAGCAUUUCGGUGUGUAAACCACUGUUGCCCGGGACGAACAUCCUCUUUCGAGAGGACUGACGGUACCGGGUGAGGAAGCACCGGCUAACUCCGUGCCAGCAGCCG